ACAUACAACCCACAGGAGUCUCUAGCUAAAAUGCAGAUUUUGAUUCAGUAGUAUCUGGUGGUACCCCAAAUUCUGCAUUUCUAACAAGCUUCAUGUGAUGCAAUG
rnacentral:pre_miRNA from 1 species